rnacentral:rRNA from 1 species
AACGAACGCUGGCGGCAGGCCUAACACAUGCAAGUCGAGCGCCCCGCAAGGGGAGCGGCGGACGGGUGAGUAACGCGUGGGAACGUACCCUUUGCUACGGAAUAGCCUCGGGAAACUGGGAGUAAUACCGUAUGUGCCCUUCGGGGGAAAGAUUUAUCGGCAAAGGAUCGGCCCGCGUUGGAUUAGGUAGUUGGUGGGGUAAUGGCCUACCAAGCCGACGAUCCAUAGCCGGUUUGAGAGGAUGAUCAGCCACACUGGGACUGAGACACGGCCCAGACUCCUACGGGAGGCAGCAGUGGGGAAUCUUAGACAAUGGGCGCAAGCCUGAUCUAGCCAUGCCGCGUGAGCGAUGAAGGCCUUAGGGUUGUAAAGCUCUUUCAGGGGGGAAGAUAAUGACUGUACCCCCAGAAGAAGCCCCGGCUAACUCCGUGCCAGCCGCCGCCGUAAGAC